CCUACGGGAGGCAGCAGUGGGGGAUAUUGCACAAUGGGGGAAACCCUGAUGCAGCGACGCCGCGUGUGGGAAGACGGUCCUCUGGAUUGUAAACCACUGUCCCCAGGGACGAAGAUGACGGUACCUGGGGAGGAAGCUCCGGCUAACUACGUGCCAGCAGCCGCGGUAAUACGUAGGGAGCAAGCGUUGUCCGGAAUUACUGGGUGUAAAGGGAGCGUAGACGGUAUGGCAAGUCUGAUGUGAAAACCCGGGGCUCAACCCCGGGACUGCAUUGGAAACUGCCGAACUAGAGUGUCGGAGAGGCAAGUGGAAUUCCUAGUGUAGCGGUGAAAUGCGUAGAUAUUAGGAGGAACACCAGUGGCGAAGGCGGCUUGCUGGACGAUGACUGACGUUGAGGCUCGAAAGCGUGGGGAGCAAACAGGAUUAGAUACCCCGGUAGUC
rnacentral:rRNA from 1 species